UACGGAGGGUGCAAGCGUUAUCCGGAUUCAUUGGGCGUAAAGGGUGCGUAGGCGGGCGCGGUAAGUCGGAUGUGAAAUCUCGGAGCUUAACUCCGAAACUGCAUUCGAUACUGCCGUGCUUGAGGACUGGAGAGGAGACUGGAAUUUACGGUGUAGCGGUGAAAUGCGUAGAUAUCGUAAGGAAGACCAGUGGCGAAGGCGGGUCUCUGGACAGUUC
rnacentral:rRNA from 1 species